UGGGGAAUAUUGGACAAUGGGCGAAAGCCUGAUCCAGCCAUGCCGCGUGUGUGAAGAAGGUCUUCGGAUUGUAAAGCACUUUAAGUUGGGAGGAAGGGCAGUAAGCGAAUACCUUGCUGUUUUGACGUUACCGACAGAAUAAGCACCGGCUAACUCUGUGCCAGCAGCCGCGGUAAUACAGAGGGUGCAAGCGUUAAUCGGAAUUACUGGGCGUAAAGCGCGCGUAGGUGGUUCGUUAAGUUGAAUGUGAAAGCCCCGGGCUCAACCUGGGAACUGCAUCCAAAACUGGCGAGCUAGAGUAGGGCAGAGGGUGGUGGAAUUUCCUGUGUAUCGGUGAAAUGCGUAGGUAUAGGAAGGAACACCAGUGGCGAAGGCGACCACCUGGGCUCAUACUGACACUGAGGUGCGAAAGCGUGGGGAGCAAACAGG
rnacentral:rRNA from 1 species